AUACAGGGGGUGCGAGCGUUAAUCGGAAUUACUGGGCGUAAAGAGUACGUAGGCGGUUGCUUAAGUCAGAUGUGAAAGCCCCGGGCUCAACCUGGGAACUGCAUUUGAAACUGAGUGACUAGAGUUUAAGAGAGGGGAGUAGAAUUCCGGGUGUAGCGGUGAAAUGCGUAGAGAUCCGGAGGAAUACCAGUGGCGAAGGCGGCUCCCUGGCUUAAAACUGACGCUCAGGUACGAAAGCGUGGGUAGCAAACAGGAUUAGAAACCCGGGUAGUCC
rnacentral:rRNA from 1 species